rnacentral:tRNA from 1 species
GUCCCCAUCGUCUAGAGGCCUAGGACACCGCCCUUUCACGGCGGUAACAGGGGUUCGAAUCCCCUUGGGGACGACA